GACGAACGCUGGCGGCGUGCCUAAUACAUGCAAGUAGAACGCUGAAGGGAGGAGCUUGCUCUUCUUGGAUGAGUUGCGAACGGGUGAGUAACGCGUAGGUAACCUGCCUUGUAGCGGGGGAUAACUAUUGGAAACGAUAGCUAAUACCGCAUAACAAUGGAUGACCCAUGUCAUUUAUUUGAAAGGGGCAAAUGCUCCACUACAAGAUGGACCUGCGUUGUAUUAGCUAGUAGGUGAGGUAACGGCUCACCUAGGCGACGAUACAUAGCCGACCUGAGAGGGUGAUCGGCCACACUGGGACUGAGACACGGCCCAGACUCCUACGGGAGGCAGCAGUAGGGAAUCUUCGGCAAUGGGGGCAACCCUGACCGAGCAACGCCGCGUGAGUGAAGAAGGUUUUCGGAUCGUAAAGCUCUGUUGUAAGUCAAGAACGAGUGUGAGAGUGGAAAGUUCACACUGGACGGAGCUACCAGAAAG
rnacentral:rRNA from 1 species